rnacentral:rRNA from 1 species
GAUGAACGCUGGCGGCGUGCCUAAUACAUGCAAGUCGAACGCGCAGCGAAAGGUGCUUGCACCUUUCACGCGAGUGGCGAACGGGUGAGCAACACGUGGAUAACCUGCCUCAAGGCUGGGGAUAACAUUUGGAAACAGAUGCUAAUACCGAAUAAAACUUAGUAUCGCAUGAUACAAAGUUAAAAGGCGCUACGGCGUCACCUAGAGAUGGAUCCGCGGUGCAUUAGUUAGUUGGUGGGGUAAAGGCUUACCAAGACGAUGAUGCAUAGCCGAGUUGAGAGACUGAUCGGCCACAUUGGGACUGAGACACGGCCCAAACUCCUACGGGAGGCUGCAGUAGGGAAUCUUCCACAAUGGGCGCAAGCCUGAUGGAGCAACGCCGCGUGUGUGAUGAAGGCUUUCGGGUCGUAAAGCACUGUUGUAUGGGAAGAAAUGCUAAAAUAGGGAAUGAUUUUAGCUUGACGGUACCAUACCAGAAAGGGACGGCUAAAUACGUGCCAGCAGCCGCCGUAA